UACGAAGGGGGCUAGCGUUGCUCGGAAUCACUGGGCGUAAAGCGCACGUAGGCGGCUUGUUAAGUCAGGGGUGAAAUCCUGGAGCUCAACUCCAGAACUGCCUUUGAUACUGGCGAGCUUGAGUCCGGGAGAGGUGAGUGGAACUGCGAGUGUAGAGGUGAAAUUCGUAGAUAUUCGCAAGGACACCAGUGGCGAAGGCGGCUCACUGGCCCGAUACUGACGCUGAGGCACGAAAGCGUGGGGAGCAAACAGG
rnacentral:rRNA from 1 species